UUUUAGUUAUUUUGUGUCUUUUGAGAGUAAAUAGUACAAACAUGUUUUUGAAAUUUGCGUUUGUCUUUGCGGCUCUUUUAUCUUUAAGUGAGUGUAAGCCAACUGAAGAUGUAUCAUUUGGAGGGGACUACCCAGAAAUGCAAGAGUUUAGCAGAACGAUGGCUAAUUUCGUAAGCGACAUGUCGAGAACGAUAGAGAGCUAUUUGUACCCCAUUUUUGAAUUGUUCGCUGCUUUGGACGAGAAAGACAUAAAAGCCUUGGAAAACUCGGAGUCUUUUCCAUUUACGGUUGAAGGAAUGGAAGAAAAUGAAAUGUGCACUGAUAUUCAUGACAUAAGGUGCGAUUUGGUGGAAGUGGUGCCGAUUCCAGAGGCGAAAUAGUCUGAAGAUAUUUGGAGCCGGCUUUUAUUAAAGCUGUUUUUGUUUUCAAAUUAAAAAUGUCCAAAAUCUAAAUGUAAGAAUUAAUAAUAUUUUAUUUUACGCGAAUAUUAAAUACAAUUAUUUGACCAUUAAUCAAGUACAGAUGAUUUUGAUACUGUACUUAAUUAUUCAACUAAUUCAUUUUUAAGUGCCACUGCUUUUAACACUUUUUUUUUUAAUAAAAUAUUGUUUAUCAAAUUUACUUAUGUUAAUCACUAUAAAAUAAAUAAUGCUCAAAAUAUUUUUUAAAAAUGUUAGUUACAAUUAAAUUAAAUACAUAAAGAAAUUCGAAGUGCUGAUUGUCGUAAGAACAAUGGUUGUGUGGCCAGCCCUGGACCUUAUGAUAACACUGGGUCUAAUGGCUUAAUCAUGACCAAGCCCUAGGUGGCCCGAGGUUGUUAUAAUAGGACCAAUUUCCUUACUGGAAUUCAAUCUACAUUCCUAGAAUUGACGGUUGGUGCUUGAAUAUUUGGAAUUGAAUAGGUAUUUGGAUUUUAGAGGGUUGGGUAAAGUUGAUGGUAGAACUUUUGCCGCUACUGAUAUAAAAUUAGCUAGCCUUUAAGAUAAUAAACAAAAUAACUAAACUAUAAAUAAAGUUUAUAAUUUGUCAAUAGCACGCUAUAGAUAUG